CCCCCUCUUUUGGGUCCAAACCCCCAUUUUCCGGCACUUCUAGGUUCAACAAGCCGAUUCUUCCCCCCCGCCCGCCUUUUUGAGUCCAACCCCCCAUUUUCCACCACUUUGGGGGAGGAAAAACCCACCUUUCCCCAACUUUUUUGUGUCCAAGCCCCCAUUUUUCACCCCCCAUGCUCCGGCUCCCGCUGCCCUUUCGCUUUUGCCUUUUACCGGAAUCGCUGCUGCUCCGGGAAACGACAGUGGCAUAAAAACCUGGAGCCUCCGGAGGCCCCGCAGCCGCCAGCGAAAACGGCCCUUUUUCGCCCAAAAGCUAUUGUGGCAAACGAUCCAUUCGGCCCCAAAACCGAACGGCCGCGACAGCAGCUUUUAAUUCCAGGUGGAUUGAGGGAAACGGCGCUUUUUAACUGCAAAGCGGAGCUGAGGGAUUGGGGGGUAGCAGCAUCCUUUAACCCCCGGGAGCCUGGCAGAAACGGCAAGUUUUGACUCAGGUGGAUUGAGGGAAACGGCGCUUUUUAACUGCAAAGCGGAGCUGAGGGAUUGGGGGGUAGCAGCAUCCUUUAACCCCCGGGAGCCUGGCAGAAACGGCAAGUUUUGACUCAGGUGGAUUGAGGGAAACGGCGCU